GGGUUGUGAGGUUAAGCGACUAAGCGUACACGGUGGAUGCCCUGGCAGUCAGAGGCGAUGAAGGACGUGCUAAUCUGCGAUAAGCGUCGGUGAGGUGAUAUGAACCGUUAUAACCGGCGAUUUCCGAAUGGGGAAACCCAGUGUGUUUCGACACACUAUCAUUAACUGAAUCCAUAGGUUAAUGAGGCGAACCGGGGGAACUGAAACAUCUAAGUACCCCGAGGAAAAGAAAUCAACCGAGAUUCCCCCAGUAGCGGCGAGCGAACGGGGAGGAGCCCAGAGCCUGAAUCAGUGUGUGUGUUAGUGGAAGCGUCUGGAAAGGCGUGCGAUACAGGGUGACAGCCCCGUACACAAAAAUGCACAUAUUGUGAGCUCGAUGAGUAGGGCGGGACACGUGGUAUCCUGUCUGAAUAUGGGGGGACCAUCCUCCAAGGCUAAAUACUCCUGACUGACCGAUAGUGAACCAGUACCGUGAGGGAAAGGCGAAAAGAACCCCGGCGAGGGGAGUGAAAAAGAACCUGAAACCGUGUACGUACAAGCAGUGGGAGCCUCUUAAUGGGGUGACUGCGUACCUUUUGUAUAAUGGGUCAGCGACUUAUAUUCUGUAGCAAGGUUAACCGAAUAGGGGAGCCGAAGGGAAACCGAGUCUUAACUGGGCGUUAAGUUGCAGGGUAUAGACCCGAAACCCGGUGAUCUAGCCAUGGGCAGGUUGAAGGUUGGGUAACACUAACUGGAGGACCGAACCGACUAAUGUUGAAAAAUUAGCGGAUGACUUGUGGCUGGGGGUGAAAGGCCAAUCAAACCGGGAGAUAGCUGGUUCUCCCCGAAAGCUAUUUAGGUAGCGCCUCGUGAAUUCAUCUCCGGGGGUAGAGCACUGUUUCGGCAAGGGGGUCAUCCCGACUUACCAACCCGAUGCAAACUGCGAAUACCGGAGAAUGUUAUCACGGGAGACACACGGCGGGUGCUAACGUCCGUCGUGAAGAGGGAAACAACCCAGACCGCCAGCUAAGGUCCCAAAGUCAUGGUUAAGUGGGAAACGAUGUGGGAAGGCCCAGACAGCCAGGAUGUUGGCUUAGAAGCAGCCAUCAUUUAAAGAAAGCGUAAUAGCUCACUGGUCGAGU
rnacentral:rRNA from 1 species